rnacentral:rRNA from 1 species
CAGCCGCCGCGGGAAUACGAAGGGGGCUAGCGUUGCUCGGAAUGACUGGGCGUAAAGGGCGCGUAGGCGGCGGCCAAAGUCAGGCGUGAAAUUCCCGGGCUCAACCUGGGGGCUGCGUUUGAUACUUGGUUGCUUGAGUGGGGAAGAGGGUCGUGGAAUUCCCAGUGUAGAGGUGAAAUUCGUAGAUAUUGGGAAGAACACCGGUGGCGAAGGCGGCGACCUGGUCCUUUACUGACGCUGAGGCGCGAAAGCGUGGGGAGCAAACAGGAUUAGAUACCCCCGUAGUCCCUGUCUCUUAUAA